rnacentral:rRNA from 1 species
GAUCAUGGCUCAGGAUGAACGCUGGCGGCGUGCUUAACACAUGCAAGUCGAACGGAACUACUUUGAUGAGAUUCUUCGGAAAGGAUUUGAUUUAGUUUAGUGGCGGACGGGUGAGUAACGCGUGGGUAACCUGCCUCAUACAGGUGGAUAACAGUUGGAAACGGCUGUUAAUACCGCAUAAGCGCACAGUACCGCAUGGUAUGGUGUGAAAAACCCCGGUGGUAUGAGAUGGACCCGCGU